UAGGGAAUCUUCCACAAUGGGCGAAAGCCUGAUGGAGCAACGCCGCGUGUGUGAUGAAGGGUUUCGGCUCGUAAAACACUGUUGUAAGAGAAGAAUGACAUUGAGAGUAACUGUUCAAUGUGUGACGGUAUCUUACCAGAAAAGAACGGCUAAAUACGUGUCAG
rnacentral:rRNA from 1 species